rnacentral:rRNA from 1 species
GAACGAACGCUGGCGGCAUGCUUAAUACAUGCAAGUCGAACGAGAAAGCCCCUUCGGGGGUGAGUAGAGUGGCGUACGGGUGAGUAACGCGUAGGUAAUCUGCCCCAAGGUUUGGGAUAACCUUCCGAAAGGAGGGCUAAUACCGGAUAACAAUAGAGGUUUAGUGGUCUUUAUUUGAAAGGUCCGCCGCCUUGGGAUGAGCCUGCGUAUCAUUAGCUAGUUGGUGGGGUAAUGGCCUACCAAGGCUGCGAUGAUUAGCGGGUCUGAGAGGAUGAUCCGCCACACUGGAACUGAGAUACGGUCCAGACUUCUACGGAAGGCAGCAGUGAGGAAUAUUGGACAAUGGGCGAAAGCCUGAUCCAGCAAUACCGCGUGAGUGAUGAAGGCUUUAGGGUUGUAAAACUCUUUCAGUAGGGAUAAUAAUGAUGUUACCUACAGAAGAAGCACCGGCUAACUCCGUGCCAGCCGCCGCGGUAAUU